ensembl:lncRNA
CCUCAUUGUUCUUCACAGCUGGAUUUAGAUCUCUUCUAUCCAAAAUGUCUAUUUACUUCAAUGAAAACACAAUUUCUGCAUCUGUGCCCUUAAAACUUCACUGAAGCAGAAACCUUGAUAUUUGAGCCUGACAAUGGAGUGAAUAAAUUAAUAUUUUAUAUACUAUUCAGAUUAAUAUUUUAUAUAUCAUUCAGGCAGAAUGUAUGAACAUUAUGACUUAUGCUGUUGGAAUGAGUUGCCUGAAAGGGAGAGGAAGAACUUGACCACUAUAUCGCUAAACAUAUACUUCACACUGAGAAGUACAUAAAUCUAAUACUUCUGGAAUGUCUGGUGGGAAGGAGUUAUGUUUUACUUUCACUCUUCCCACUAUUCUUCUUUCUUAAAAAGAACAAUUUUAUUAAACACCAUAUGAAGAGGAAAAGAAAAGAUCCUGAAAUUAGAGUUUCAAACCAUUGGAGAGGUCACUCUUCUUUGUCUGGACUAACACAGAAUUAAUCACAGUGCCUAGGAGGUUUUCUGCUUUUGUAUAAUCCUGACUUGACACUGUCAUGUCGGUUAGACUGUUAAAGAUGAGAGAGUAUUUUACACAAAGGGACUGAGCCUAAUCAGGCUGACCACCCAAAAUCAAGAUUUCGUUCCAUAUCUGAUAGAAAAAGAUUAGAACCUUCUGGACAACAUCACACUUUUAAAGUUGGUAUCACAACCAUUUAUUCUAAUUAGAGUUUGGAUUUAAAACAACCCUUUUCUCUCUACUCCAGCUACUCAUUUCUGUUUGGAUGCUGCCCAUGUUGUUUUGUUGGUCCAUUCGUUUGUGAAUGGACUGUGAAGAUGAUCCAAGGGGAAAAGAAGAUAAUUAUUUUAACUCAGUUCACCAGCUUCAGUAAGGACAUCUACCAAUUUUUCAAUUUUUUAAAUAUUUUUCAAGAUGUUCUUGCAUGAUGAAACACUUGAGAGCAACUCGGGAUAUAUGGACACUUCAUAUUAAGGAACUAGUACACAAGUCACAAUUCAAAGACAGGAUACACAGAAAUCAUAUCAGCUGCUUCUACGAUGAAAAGCCUCUGCAAUGUAUGAUGCACAUAGGGUUUGGCUUAGCUCCAGAUAUGUGCAAAGUCCAAGACACCAUCUGAUACUUUUAAUUUCCAGUUAGGAAAAAAAUAACGGCAACAAAAACAGGAUAAGAGUCAUCAUGGUCUUGCUAAGAUACUGGUGCUCUUGCUACAGAAGUAGUAAGGCAAAAGUCAGUCCAGACUACAAUCCUUAUUAUAAUUCAUAGACAUUCCACCUAAAAGUGUGCUGAAAAGGAAAAAGGAAAGGAAAGGAAAGGAAAGGAAAGGAAAGGAAAGGAAAGGAAAGGAAAGGAAAGGAAAGGAAAGGAAAGGAAAGGAAAGGAAAGGAAAGNNNNNNNNNNAAGGAAAGGAAAGGAAAGGAAAGGAAAGGAAAGGAAAGGAAAGGAAAGGAAAGGAAAGGAAAGGAAAGGAAAGGAAAGGAAAGGAAGGAAAGAAAAGGAAAGAAAAGAAAAGAAAAGAAAAGAAAAGAAAAGAAAAGAAAAGAAAAGAAAAGAAAAGAAAAGAAAAAAGAUGAAAAAAAGGAUGCCUUUGUUUGUUGUUUUUUUUUUUUUCCAGGUCCUAACUCUUUUCUUCUCUUU